CAAUAAUAACAAUAACAGUGAUAAUAAUAACAGAGAUAUGACUAAUAAUAAUAAUAAUAAUAGCAAUAAUAACCAGAGAAGGUGUCAAGGCAGGACGCCCACAACUGUUUUGAAGAGUGCUGAAAGAGAAAAAAACGCCUAUGGCUACCCUUGCUUUUUGUUGUAAAUAGCUCUCUAUAGAUUUUAUCUCAGUGUUACCUUUACAUGUUAUAUUUGCACUAUUUGGGAACCUCACCACACUCUGGGAAUGCAAGGCCUGUAAUAUAGUUCUGUGUCUAAUUGUUUACAUCAACUGUUUUGAAGUCACGGUAUUUCGUACUCAUAGUCACAAAAAUUACUCUAUUGAAUAGAGUACAAUUAUCUGACUUUUUCGUGCUUGAUAGAACAAAAUAUAAAUCUUAGCAGCCAUUUCGGACUUGCGCAUGUGCACACUGCCCUCCAAUCUUAUACAUUAUAACAGAGCUGCUCUGUUUGUGCGGUAAAAUCACUUUAUUUUUCUUAUAGAUACAGGAUUAGAUCAUAAGAUAUACUUUUCUUAUAAACUUUUCUUUACUUUUAUGUAACUUGAAGUAUGUAAAGCCCUGAUGUUAUACACUCCAGUACAGUAGGUGACGGUACGCACCUACACACAUUGGUUUGUGAUCCGCCAUUAAAUCAGAGAAAAGGAGGAUACAUCCAAGGUAAGGUCAAGCGAUCGUGUACAAGCCUCUGCUAUCAAUUUUUUUUUUGGGGGGGGUAGACUUACAUAUGUGCAUAGAAGCUUAAAUGGCAACUAGCAAAGUUCACUACAGAGCUAACACUGUUUAGCAUACCAUAGCUGUGUACCGUAAUUACACCAAUAGACUCACAGAGUCAGUACAUUUGACUGAAUGCUGUAUACCAUAACUACACCAGUAGAUGCACAGCGCAAUAUAAACAGGCGGCUCACUACCCUGCAAGCUGAAUAGAGGUUGACUCUAAUUACUUAUAGUAAAUUAAACUACAACACAGUCCAAGAUCAGUUCAGACAUGGUAUAAUUUUGUACUUAGUUGUUAGUUUUUAUUAAUGAAUAAUUUCCUUUUUCUCCUUGCAGCAUCUAUCUACUGUGCAGCAGCUAUUUGAACCUCAAAGGCACUUUUAAGAGCCAACCUCACCCUGUCAUCUAUCUAUCUAUCUAUCUAUCUAUCUAUCUAUCUAUCUAUCCCUAUUACUGCUCUAUCUAUCUAUCUCUUUGUGUAUAUCUGUCUGUCCAUCUGUUUGUCUGUCUUACAAUGGCCAAAAAAUUCAUACUUGACCCCCUUUAUCUCCAGUGCCAAGAAAGAAGACACCCUGCCAUUGGGUUGAUACAUGACCAAAUCCUUGGUGAAGCAUUUGUAAUUUCAGGAAAGGUCCAUCAAUAUGUAUGUAAAAAAACAGUCAAUGGAUGCAUUGAUAUGUUAAACUGUCAUGUACUGUUUUACAGGCAUGGGCACUGAGGUGUUGGCACUUCCUGCAAAGGAUUCCUUGCCAUUACCCAGAGCACAGCUAAAUCCUCAAGAGAUAUUUGAACAAAACAUGGAGAGGCUUUCUGCCAUACUAGAGUCAUGUCCAUGUUCUGCUGAGCCUGAGAGAAGCUCAGCAUCAUAGUGGUCUGUUCGGCAGCCUCAGACCGCUGGGAGGAAGCACGGCUAUACCACUUCACAUGCCUUUUGGAAUCUGAGGCUGUUGGCAAGCCAUUGUGUUGCUUCUCCACCAGCCUGCUACAAGGUUGGAUCAUCAUUAAUCAAAUAAUAUUGUGUAUCUAUGUACAAAGUGAGCUCACCUGGAUUCUCCAGACAAGCCUUUGCAAAGCUGCUGGAAUAUCAAACACUGUGUGCAGGAAAAGUAUGAGACCACAAAUACUAUGUAUUAUGCUAACCAGUUAUUAUCAGCAAAUUAUUUCCAUAUACUUUGACUAUCACAAUUUUAUUUUUUUUUAACUGAUAUAUGUUCUAUUCUGGACAGAUAAAUGGGAAAGCCCCGCAGCAGAGCUCCCUUGAGUUUUCAUGUCUCCUUUAAGAAAAAACAGCUUUGCUGUGAUGCCCCUCUCACCUACUCCGCCUGCACACCUGAAAUGGUAGCAGUGUCAGCAGAUUUCAAUCUGGCCAUACUGGAAGGUGUACUUUAAGUUCUCUUUGGUAAAUUAGUCGCUACUGUAAGUGACAACAAGAGUAGGAAAUGGAUGUGAUAUUUUUUCCCCUAGAUCUAAUGACACUACCUUGGCUAUUUUUAGCCAAAGACAGUGAGGUUAUCAGGUUUUGACAAUACAAUACAGAUGGAUGAAGAAUGUAAAUUUAAACUAUACACUCACAAAAUAGUUCUUUAACUAAAAGAAUCAUUACAUUAUCCUGUACCUCUAGAAGUAGUCUAUACUCCCUACUGCUUACAUUGUCAGACAUUUAUUUAAAACUUGCCACUGUCAGUCCAGCUCUUAAGGGCCUUACAGAAAUGAAGCCCUUCCUGAGCAUCAUGCAUGCAAGAGCUCUUGCUACCAAGUGUGAGCUAUGUCUUUUAUCUGUUAUUUUCAAUUGAAUAUGCUAUGUGUUACUAUGGGAAUGGACAGCCUUGAGCUGAGUUCCAUGUCCCUAAUAUUUGUCCACAUUGUCUGCUUCAUUGGCUCUAAUGUACCCUUGCAAAAGAUAAAAUGGAGUGGUUGGAACCAGGAGGGAGCAGGCACAACUGCCGGUGAGGAGGUGGAGUAAGUAAACAGCUACCUCUCAUGUUGUGCCCUGACAACAAAGUACUUGUCAAAAGCUAUCUCACUUUAAUAAGUCUUGGAGUUAGUGCUAUCAUCUAAUAUUGUUUAUAGAUUGCAGACCAUAAAGUAAGUCCUCUUAUACCAGCAUGUGUAGACCGGCUCACUGUGCAUGCAAUGAGUUGGAACCGUCACAAAGAUGAGACGCUACACAAGGUUCGCUCCAUGAGAUAUUGGAGGACAUUUAAAAGGGCAAAAGAAGAGUUAGAGAGGCUGUCACAUCUUAAGAGGGAGCUGCAGUGCUCAGAUGCAAUGGAAGUACAGUGGAUUGCUGAAGUCAAGGAAUGGGCAGAGAGUGGGGUCUCGAGGGUCUUCAUCUGGGUGUGAAGCAGUAGAAACAAACCCUCUACUGUCAGAGUAACAGCAACAAGAUUCGCCACCGUCUCCAAAGAAAGUUGACAGUAGACAAAAAGCAUCUUCUCCAGGAGAUUGAAAAGUACAAUGGUCUUGUUGCAGACUGCUCCAAAAAGAUUGAUGCGGCCCUGGUGGACCAGGCUCUUGUUGGACAGAGCACUGGUACAAUAUGGCCAUGGAAGGACCAUGUCAGUGUAACAAUCGGUAUCAAGAAAAAGCUACAUGACCAGGACAUGCUGACAACACGGCUGCAAGAGGAGCUCCCCAUCCUGGUAUAGGAGAUGGCCCAGCACUUCUUAACAAGCCAAUAGGUUACACCUGUGCAUAUGUCAGCUGAGGAAGUGCUUGGCCCUACUGAACCCAGCGCACUGUCAAUCUCAUCUCCAGAGAGCUCCUCCCAGCAAGGAUAUGAGAGAGAGAUGAGAGGACGAGACUCAAGGACGGAGGAAUUUAAUUCAUCAAACGGAACGUCUUCACUCCAUUGUCAUUUAGAGGAGACGACAACUACUCAUGAUGCACAGCACCUCAACUGUUAAAUAUCAAAAAAUACUGCUCCACAGGUGGUUUUCCUAAUCAGCUGUAUUACAACAACAGCCCGACUGUUUACUGUCCCAUCAGAUAAGCUGACCAAUCAAUAGACACAUUGGAUCAAAGGGGUGUUGCCAUCAGGUAAAAAACUUCCACAAAGGAUGCAUCUGUGGUUCCUUGCUCUGAGCUCCUCAGGGAGCCUCCUCUCUCAUGAAGAUCCUCCAUGAUGGUGGAGGGACAUUGGUUUCCGGGUCAUGGAGAAGAGAGGAUGCGAGGAAGCAUAGAGUUAGCAUAAUGAAAAGCACCCAGAGAGAGAGAGAACAAAACAGGGGACCAACAAGAAACACCGUAGGGAUGCAAACAGCAGAAAUACUAGGAGUGAGGGAGAGGCACAGUCGGACAAUGACAGAAGGAUUACAUGGUCAUCUAUAGAGAGAGAAAACUCUCUAAUCUCUAAAGGUUUAUUUCUACAGAGACCACCAGGGAUUCUUAUAGCCAUGUGGAAGAAAAAGAUAUUGUCAUAGAAAUCUCUGUGCACACUGUAAUAAGCAAACAGUUUGCUAAACUGUGCACAGGGAUUGAUAAACCAUGCAAACCUAUUGCUAAUCUCAUUGCUUAGGGGAAAAAAUGCAUCUCUAAAUUUGGGAAUUGUGAUUCAGUUAGAUUUAAGUACUGUGAUUCAGUUUUUGAUUGCCAAAGCAGCUAAACGAGAACACAGACUAAUACUAUAGCUGGUGGUAGAAAAAAUACAAUAAUAUAUCAUAGUAAUGGACUGAAAACAAGAAGUCACAGCAUGAUAGCCAUUAUACAAAUCCUCGCUGAUUGUUAAAGCAUUCAUUAUAUCUCAAAAUACAUACCCUGGCCCUUGCCCUUGUUUAUCUUCACAUAUAAAUAAUGCAUAAAUAAUAAGUGUGCAGGAACAGCACAGUGCACAGGAAAUGCUUCAGUACAGUAUUAGAUUUUUCUGACAGCGAUUACUACUCUGUGUUUUCAUACAGUGGAUAAAAAUAAAUAAAAUAUUUUCCUCCUCACAGUUUAUCCAUCUCUAUGCUCGAUUUAUCUUCAUCUUUUUUCUUGGUUUAUGAAUCCCCUGGCUUGAUUUUAGCAAUCUGUCCACAUGGAUUUACACAUCAAUAGUUACUUUUUUGUUUGUUUUUUCAUCAUGUGACCCCAGCUGGCUCUGUUUGGCUCUUUUCUUGGGGAACAGCAAUAAGAUAUUGCAUAUUUAAAGUAAAAUCUUAUUCUUUGAAAGUACAGCCAUUAGAUAACAGCUGUAGUUAUCCAACUGUAGUCAAAUAUUUACUCAAGUAUGAUAAUAGUACGUAAAUUGUACUUAAUAUAUCUGUUUACUUCUCCCCUCUGCAUGCUACAAGUUUAUGCUACAGGUCAAAGCAAGAAAAAAAAUAUUUGACAUGUCCCACAAACACAAACCUAUAUUCUGUGUUAACAGUGUCAUAGGCAUCAUGCCUCACCAGUGCCAGGAUAAAAGAAGUCUGUUAAGUGCCUACAUUAUUUUCUCUGCAUGUGGCAGUACAUUACUUCAAAACAUCUUGAACCCUCGUCAUGAAUAUACAUCAAUAUGAAUGUACACUUUUAAGUCCAUACAGUGUUUCUCUCAUGGUCUGAAUCUCAUUAACACUGAAAUAUAAGAGGAUCCAUGAUAAGAGGAAUUGGAAUAAAAAUGUGCUGUGCCAAGUUUGUGAAUUUUCAUUUGAUUUCUUUGGUGAAAUGAGGUGAAAUAAGGCCAUAUCAUGUUCAGGUUCAACAAGACAUCCCAGUUAUUCUGGGUUUUUUUUUUUUAAACAAUUUCAUCUUCUUUUAAUACUGGAGUGCAGUAAUAUACUGAAAAUCACCAGCAGUUGUACUUUGUAGGAAAACAUGAACAUUACCAAGCUCAUAUGGAGCAAAAUAAUCAAGCUCAAAAGUCAGCUUAUUUGUUUCCUGAGUUUUCAAACUCAUCUUUUGGCCUUCAUCAAUGAAAAGUUGGCUCAGUGGUCAUGAAGAUUGUUCAGUUCAUUGCUCAUUUGGCCUAAAUAUGGAAUUUUUACCUUUUCGUAACCUGUCUCUGUCUGAGAAUAGUCUUUGAACUGUCAAACUGCAGAAUUAUGAAAAAUAGAUUUGAACAUGAUAUUACAUAGUAAGUAAUUAUAGAGUAU